AUUGAACGCUAGCGGGAUGCUUUACACAUGCAAGUCGAACGAGAGGCGGACGGGUGGGUAAUAUAUCGGAACGUGCCCAGUAGAGGGGGACAACUACUCGGAAGAGUGGCUAAUAACGACUACUAUUGGAUCGGCCGAUAUCGGAUUGGCUAGUUGGGGGGGUAAAGGCUCACCAAGGCAAAGAUCCGUAGCUGGUGUGAGAGGAGGACCAGCCACACUGGGACUGAGACACGGCCCAGACUCCUACGGGAGGCAGCAGUGGGUAAUUUUGGACAAUGGGGGAAACCCUGAUCCAGCCAUCCCGCGUGUAUGAGAAGGCCUUCGGGUUGUAAAGUACUUUUGGUAGAGAAGCGGUAUCUGCAGAAUAAGCACCGGCUAACUACGUGCCAGCAGCCGCGGUAAUUC
rnacentral:rRNA from 1 species